CUCGUACUCCCUCCGUCCGGAAAUACUUGUCGGAGAAAUGCAUAAAAGUGAAUGUAUCUAGAACCAAAGUACAUCUAGAUACAUACAUUCAUCCAACGAGUAUUUCUGGAUGGAGGGAGUACUAG
rfam:Triticum aestivum genome assembly, contig: Triticum_aestivum_CS42_TGACv1_scaffold_147209_2BS